rfam:Cucumis sativus cultivar 9930 chromosome 2, whole genome shotgun sequence.
AUACUUACCUGGACGGGGUCUUUGGGCGAUCAAUAAGGUCCAUGUCCUAGGGUAGUGACUUCCAUUGCACUUAGGAAGGGUGCUACCCUAAGGUCUGUCCAAAGUGGCAGAGCCUACGUCAUAAUUUGUGGCAGUGGGGGCCUGCGUUCGCGCGGCCCCUUC